UGAGGAAUAUUGCGCAAUGGGGGCAACCCUGACGCAGCAACGCCGCGUGAGUGAGGAAGGUUUUCGGACCGUAAAGCUCUGUCGAGCGGGAAGAAAUGCAUGGUGGCUAAUAUCCAUCAUGCUUGACGGUACCGCUAAAGGAAGCACCGGCUAACUCCGUGCCAGCAGCCGCGGUAAUACGGGGGGUGCGAGCGUUGUUCGGAAUUAUUGGGCGUAAAGAUCGUGUAGGCGGCCGAAUAAGUCAGAUGUGAAAUCCCUGGGCUUAACCAAGGACGUGCAUUUGAAACGAUUCGGCUGGAGUAGGGGAGAGGAAAGUGGAAUUCCGGGUGUAGAGGUGAAAUUCGUAGAUAUCAGGAGGAACACCGGUGGCGAAGGCGACUUUCUGGCCCUAUACUGACGCUGAGACGCGAGAGCGUGGGUAGCAAACAG
rnacentral:rRNA from 1 species